rfam:Schistosoma mansoni strain Puerto Rico chromosome 7, complete genome
GCACUGCUGAGGAGUCCCAUAAUAGGACGAAACAGCCGUCCAGUAC